UCUGCUGCAGCGUCCGGGCACAGACACUUUGGGAAGCUACAUGUGUUUUUUUUACCCCCAAAACAUGACAGAGAAGUGAAAGAGAAAACACUAUUUUCACGAUGACUGGGAGGAAGAGUUGUUUUUCACGACAGUGAAAGAUAAAUGUAUGUGUCCUAUUUGCGGGGCGACUAUUGCAACGGCAAAGCGGCACAAUGUGGAGAGACGCUACUUUACCCGCUACAAAGCUUCCAUGCUAACUAGCCACCUGCUAGCGCACGUAGACUGUAUGCGCACUACGGACAGGAAAAGGCCGGGACUUAAAGGCAGCUUUGGCAUCUGCUACUCGGCGAAAAGUUUCUUCGUGGAGAAAAAUGUACCAUUAGAUGCAUUCAGGCUUCAUUGUACGAUGCAGAGGUGAUCCAGACUUCCCAACAUUCCUACAUUACCACUGCAGCAUUCACCAGCAGGCCAUAUGUAUGUACAAAAGUGGCCGGAUUUGAUCAUGUGAUGACUCCUGUCGUGAAGAUCAUAAAUGGCUCCAAAGCCAAACAACCAGGACAUUGAAGGUGCUGCUGGAGGAGCUGUUAGCUGAACAUGGUGACCUGUUACUACACACAGAAACCCCAUGGAUCAGCAGGGGACCAGUUUUGCAGCGUUUUUUGUCACUGUUGGCCGAAAUCAAAGAGUUCAUGCAAUCCAAAGGGGAAGACACCUUGCUGCUUGAGGACACUGAGUGGAUUCUUGCCCUUGCAUUUUUAACGGACAUCACUGGGAAACUGAACCAUCUGAACUGUGAGCUGCAAGGUAAAGGACUCACCAGGAACUGGAUCUUGCUCAUGCUGAAAGUGUUGGAGCUGCGGAUGUGAUCGGCCAGUCGGCCCGGCGUUGCUACGACCACAUGUGGUUUGUUGGACAGCUCCAGAGCCUGACUCACCAUGUCUGUCCACAACACAGCAGAGUCAGUGUCAGCACAGCAGAGAGGCAACAGACACUAUAAGUGCGAAGGUCAUCGUAUCAGGCAGCAAUAUUUACUAUUAUUUUAGGACAUGUGUGUUGAAAAAAAGCUUUAACUAUGAGUAGUAUCUGUAGCAGCUCCUUCAAAAUUCACAGUAUGAGCUCAAAAAUAUCACUCUCACGUAUACUCUCAUGCUCAAUGUACAAUUAAACAAUCAAACACCUA